UUAUAGCUAGUUUAGAGGGUGAGUUUUGUAUCAUGAAUUGCUCAAAAUUAGCCUAUGCUAAUAAAGCGGGGGGCACUAGCCUCUGGGUUCUUAAAUCAUGCCCUAUAACAAGUAGUUCGUGUCCUUGACAAAGUGAUGGAACUCAUUAACUAGUUUCAGUCCCACUAGGAGCCUGUUCAUCCUUCCCAGUAAUUGGCAUCAAGCCCAAUCUGUUCCAGGAAGAAUGAAUUUCCUCACUGAGCAUAUGCUUACUGAGUGUCUAUGGCACUUGUCAUACCCAGAUAUGAACAAACCUCAGUAAGACUAAAUUCUGGAUUGAGGGGCUGUUCACCUUGUUUUGCCUACUUUGGUUACCAGGAAUCUACGUGGAAGGUAGGUCUCAUUUGGUCCAGAUAUGUAAUAAUUCUGCAAUGAGUAUGAAACCAACUCCAAGUACCCACUGAGACUAACCCAACACUCUGUGGUGAGAAUCAAAUAAAUUUUUUCUUUAUGCUUACACCAAAGAGCCUCCAGGAUUGUCUUUGGCUCCCUUUCAUUAGGGAAGUGGCAAUAACUCUUAAUCUGUCUAGCUUGAAGGCACAGCUCAGGUCUGAUCUAGGCCAACUUUGGGUUUCCUGUGUUGUUCUUGUCCACUGUCGUCUGCUGCCUCUUGCCACAGAUUCUUGGUGAUAAGCCUCAACAUUUACACCAAACAUAGCCAUUGAACACUUAGGUGUCAAUUGUUUUCUUCAAAAUGCUUCCGUUUCCUCCAUCAAGCUCUGAAAAAUGGCCCUGGGAUGGUAGGUUCCGUAGCUUCCUAUCACUACCACCUACACACUCUGAUGGUGGUUGUGCUUUCCCUGUGGAGAUGACUACACAUUUACAGCACCAAAAGGAGCAAGGGCUUUAUGACCCUUCUCAUGGGAGGUAUUACUUAUAUUCUGAUUGGAGUCAUAACUUAAAAUGGAUCCCUCAUUUUGUAGAAAUGUGGAUACCAUGACCCCUCCUAUGCAAUACCGUUAAGCCUCUCUCUGUCAAGGUUCCCUUAAACAGUACUGUUUAAUCAUUUUGUAGAAUACUGUAUCAUUUCCCCUAAUUGUCUACAACCUCUUUCUAUAAAAGGACUUCAUUUUUAAAUACUUGUGAUGUCUUUCUACCUCUCCACCCUGCUGACAAUCAGACUUGACUGUGGACUAGUUUUGGCCAGUGAAUUGUGAGUAGAAGUGACAGAGCCUGUUCCAAAAAGAAGCCUCAAGAGUCACUGUGUGUUUCUGUCAUGUUUCUUGCUGUUUUCUGUAUCCACAAAUUUAUAUUUUAGAUGAGGAGUAUUCUUUCACUCUCAAUCCCCCAGAAGAUGAGACAUGUAGAAUGAAGCUGGAUGGAGCUCAGCAGAGCUGUAGCUGACCCGCAAGAGCCAUGAAAUAAAGAGCAUGAGCAAGAAAUAAACCUUUGUUGGUUUCAGGCACUAGGAUUUUGGGGUGUCACUACAGCUUAACCUAGCAUAAGCUGACUAAAACACUCAUAAUGUAAGUUACAUGCUUACUGUGAGGAAGCCUUUGUGGAAUAUGAAGUUGUACAAGAUAGUGUCUGCCUUCUAGAAGCUUACAAUCUAAGACAAGAUUAGAUGCCCAAGCAUCCGUUAAAGUAGCAGAAGUGGCUAAGCUGAUGAGUGAGGCUGGAGGACCAUAAGGCUGGUUAGCAGCCUGAAAAGUGAGAGGGGAAAAUUUCACAGAGGAGGUGAUUGGGAGGUUCAAUGAUGCAGGCACUUCAAGGAGAAAAAGGGCUGAGCAAGGUCUUCAAGGAAUUACUUCUGGGUGAGUGGGUAGAGCAGGCGGUCCGAUGCAAAGGGCUAAGGAGGUAGAGAGGAUGCAAAGCCAUCAUAAAAGAUUACUCUUUCAACAUGUGUGGUGAGAGAAACCAUAGUCAUGGGGGAAGUCAAAGAUUGCAUCAGCUUCACAGAGUGAUGCCGCAAGCAGAGUUGGGGAUUGCUGCCCUUCCUACACACCCUUCUCUUAGAGCCUGCCCCUGCCCAGUGGGCCUUCUGAGGGAGAGGGCAUUGGUUAGCUCCAUGCUCCCAGCCUCAGAUGAUUCCACUGAGGUGGGCACCUGAUGUGAGGAGGGCUGAUCUAAGCUGCCAAUGACCUUUCACUUGAAUGAUUAGGCUCAACAGGAUGACUGGGGACAGUCACAUUCCUUCUCAUAGGAGCCCCAAACUAAGAGGUACAGAUGAAGCAUGCUCCAUGGGAAUGGACCCUUGACCUGAAAACCAAAGGAAAAUAAAGUGGAUAUUUUCAGGUCACGUACAUAUCCAAGUCAUGAGGGCCCACAGAGAGUGGCUGGGAAAGAAAGAACAAGAGAACAACAGAUACAAGGAGAAAAUUGGAGAAGCCAUGAGUAAGAGACAAUAAUGAAGCCAUGGUGCUUCAUAUAUGCCAAGCACUGUACUAAGUCCUUUACAUUGAUAGUACCUCAUUUAUUUCUCCAAAAAUCCCUGGAUAUGGGUGCUGUGAUUAUCCUCAUUGUACAGACGAGGAACCCAAGACACAAAGAAGUGGUGCCCAAGAUGACCCACAAUAAAGCCAUGAUGUAAACUAAGUAGGCUGACUCCUGACUCCCUACUUUUAGCUACCAUGCAUUACUGCCCUUUGAAAGGGACAUGAGAGGCACUUCCUGCAGCCCUUGGGAGUCAACACUUCCUAAGCUCAGGCAGUUUUGUUUUAUUGGAUAUCCUGAGAUCAUAUGAGCCAUCCAGAAUGGGUUUCAGCUCCCGGCAACCAAAAUAACCCAAACCAAACCAGAUGGGGAGAUUUGGGCUUUCCAAAUGAAAGAAAGAGGGGUGUCCAUGUAGCAGACCUAUAAGGAAGCACAGGGGGAUGGGAUUAAGGGCAAGGGAGAGACUUUUUCUCUCCCAUAGCCAGAACCAUAUGGCUUAGUUUUACCAUCAGGCACCCACAGUGCCAUAUGGUAGCCAGUUAACUAACCAAACAAGACUGACACAUAAUUCAGGCUGUACCUUUCUGGUAGCUGUUAUGGGAAGGUUUUUGGAGGGAGGAGGUUGGAUUUGAGGGAAAGAUGCUGGGAUAAACCCUUUGUGGGGUAACAGGUGCCUCCGUAGCUAGGUUUCAGGGAAGGAGGGAGCUUCUUUUUUUUUUUUUUUUUUAACGUUUAUUUAUUUUUGAGAGAGCGCAACACAACACAAGGGGUGAGGUUGGGCUCACAUGCUUCCUCCUUUCUGAGUCUUGGUUUCUCUGUCAAUAAGAUGGGAAUGAUGAUUUUAAAAAAAUGGAGAGAAUCUGACUUAUCAAGACUUUGGGGAGACUAGGAAGGUGCAGAUCAGCACAAUGGGGCUGCCCCCUGUGGCUGCCAGACCUGACAUUUUGGGUCAGGUUUUCCAGAGAUAGUCUCUGAGAUGGAGGUGUGAGUGCAGGAAGCUUAUCAGAGAGUGUGCUCGGUAUCAACACCUGUGAGGACUGAGGGCAUCUGGCUGAGCAGAGGGAGAAGUCACAGCAAUGACAGCAGCCAGUUCCAGGGGGAACUUGAGCUCUUCAGAACUGUCCCCACAGCGAUGGGCUGUGCCUUUGUACCCACCUCACCGAGAAGUCUUUGAGCUUGGGAUGCUCUGUUAGUGAGGCAGCUCCCUUGAGUCAAGGGCAGUUCCUGGGAAGAGGCUCAGUUCUGAGACUUUCAGAAGCAACACCCCAUGUGGAUGGGGGAAUGUGUGCCUUGGCCCUGAAAGGAAGGAUCUGGGUAGCACAUCACCACAUCGUCUAUGCACCAGAACUGAACCCCACUUCUCAGGGGCCAAAUAGGGCAGGGGAGCAUGGACUUUGGGAAAGGUAGGGGGGGCUGAGAGGAGACAGGAGGUGUUUGCAGAAGGUUGUUCCCUACUGGUAUAAUCUCACUCUGCCCCUGCCUGGAAUCAGGAAAGUAAGUGACCAGGGAAAAUGCUACGUGAGUCUGGAUGUGUGUGGGAACCAUAAAGGGGCAAACUCCUGCUCCAGUCUGAGGCCAAGAAGUCACAGUGAGAAGUCAGAAGCUGGAGAAAAUAAGGCAAGGAAAUUGCAAGGAGGCCAUGCAAUUAGAGUCUGAGCCAGGUUUAACCUAAAUUUCAAAGGGCAGCCAGGUCCCACGUGGGUCACAUCAGACAAGGGCACGUUUCCUAGCGCCCAGCUGAGUUUUGAGGAUUUCAGAUCUCCAUGAGCAAAACAGGAGGAAGCAGCUCUCUGUGGGCCAUGGGUUCCCAGCCCAUCGUUGGCUGUUGAAAAAGUCAGUGAGAGUUGUACUGGGCCUGAGUCAGGUGACGCUUGACACGAUGUGUGAGAGGGUAAGCCUCUGCCCCACGCAUUCUUGCUGCCGGAUUCAGGGGACUAUUACAACUGAUCAGAUCCCCCAGAAUUCAUAUGCUGAAGCCUUAAUGCCCAGGGUGAUGGGCACAUACGACCUUUAAUGAGGUCACAAGGGUGGGGCCCUAAUCCAACGGUACUGGUGUCCAUAUAAGAAGACACCACAGGAGUGCGUGCCCAGACAGAAGGCCACAUGAGGACACAGCGAGCACACGGCCAUCUGCAAGCCCAGAAGAGAGGCUUCAGGUGACACCAAACCUGCCAGCACCUUGGUCGUGGACUUUCAGCCUCCAGAACUGUGAGAAAAUUAAUUUCUGUUAUUUAAGCCCCCCAGCCUGCAGCUCAGGCAGACUGAGACCAGGAGGUAGCCAGCUAGGCGAGCAGCGGGCUGAGAAGGUUGGUGCCGGAAGCAAAGCCCAUCUGUGUGUCCUCCUGUUUCUCCCUCUUCUCUUUCCUGCCUCACACAGUCCAAUGCUGGAGGGACUGGUCAGUGGCCAGGGGACACCUGGAAGAGUGGCGUUUAGAGGCUACAUGUAGACUCUGGAUACACAAAGGUUGAACAUGAGAAAUCAGGGCCUUCCGGGUUGCUCUGCAAACGGACUUCCAGCCCAGUGUUCCCAGCUGCAUACACUUAAGGAGGGAGGGGGAGGGGAAGCAGCCUCCUUCCUUUCUGGCAGCUUGCUUUGCUGGCUGGCUGGUUAGCCAUAGCCAAUGUCACUGACCUGAAUUUGGCUUUCCAAAAAAAAUUGUUUCACUAUAAUUCUUUUGGUUCCACUUUGGAACUUGGAUAAAAUAUAUGAUCCCAUUUACAAAAAUAUUCCAAAUACCCAAAUCAAAACUGAAAGCUAGGAAGGCGAGUUAACUUUCUGGGCCUCCUUAUCUGAAAAACGAGGCAGUCACACUAGAUUUGUGGUUGAAAACAUUUUUUUUUCUUUAAACCACAAGAAGCCUGUCUUCAAAAGAAGUCUUGCCAGGAAGCAGAAACAAAGGAGGUACCUGUGAGCUGGGCUGCUCUGAUCAAAAGGGGAGAAGUGAGUUCUAGAAACCUGCCCACCAAGGUGGGGCUUUACUAAGCAGGGUCUGAAACCCAUUUGCUAUCAUCGCCUAAGCCAGUUGGUAGAGAUGCAGCCGGUGAUGGCCUCCUGCCUUCUCCCAACCUGCCUUUGUCCUUAAGAGGAGAACAAGGCCCAACAUGUUCACUGAGGCCUCUCCUGGGGAGAAGAUGCAUGUGAGGAUAUGAGAAGAAAGCCAUCUGCAAACCAGGAAGAGGGCUCUCAUCAGAACAGAAGCUGCCAGGACCUUGAUCUUGGACUUACAGCUUCCAGAACUGUGUGAAAAGCAGUUUGGAGGCAAUGUCACAAAUCCUGGUACCAGGCCUGAAUAAAGCUGGCAAGUUCCUUUCCUUGCUGAUCCACAGUGAAAACGUGAUGGUCAGAGUAGAUGAAGUGAAGUCCAUAAUUAAAUUCCCAGUUGAAGAUGGUGUGGCAUCUGGCAGUGGCUAUCGGCCAUGUGAAGAUGACAGAGGAUGAGCUUGGGCACAACAUCCACUUAGCUGUCAAUUUCCUGGUACCAUUGCUCAAGAAGAAUUGGCAGAACAUCCAGGCUUUAUACAUCAAGAGCACCACGGGCAAGUCCCAGAGCCUGUACUAAGGCACAACUUAAUAAACCCUAGUGCUACCAUUAAAAAAAUCUAUCUAUCUAUCUAUCUAUCUAUCUAUCAUCUAUCUAUCUCACUCCUUCAGACCAUCCACCAAUUUUGUAAGAACUCAGUACUGGAAUGAAAUCCCUCUCUGCUUUAAAUAUCUAGAGUGGCUUCUGUAUUCUGAGUGAAUUCUGUCUGGUACAGAAGAGAUAGAUACUUGAGACCCCGUGUGAACCAAGGAGAGACAUAUCACAGAAUUUCAUUCCAAAAGUUGAUAAAUAGAGGCUAACUUUCCAAUGGAGUUGGAGGUUAUGAGGCCAGAGCAGCUGGCAGCCAUCUUGCCUUCACAAAAGAGCUUGUGUGAGAAAAGUACCAAUUAGGGGGCCAAGCCAAGAGAUAAGAGAAGCCUGAUCUUGACACCAUUUAGGUAAUUGAAUCAAGUAAUAUUUUGUGCCAAACCUUUCCCUGGACUUUCCAGUUAUAUGAGCCAAUACAUUCCUCCUUCUCUCUGAGACAGCUGGAGUUGAGCUAGUCUAUCAUUUGACCAAAACGUAACUUAUUUGGCAUAAUGAUGACCACAGGAGAGAAAUAACAGAGCAGCAGUGGUCAGAUUGCUAUAGAUCACAUAUUCUCAAUCAGUGGUCUGCAUCCUACAAGUGAACAGGUCUGGGCCUGGGCCUUCUAGGUCACAUGAGGGACACGUGAACAAUUGGAAAAUUCUCCCAGGUGAGCUGGUUCCCACGUGUACCCCUGGUGAACAUGGCUACUAUGGAUCAACUCACAAGGAAGGGAGAACAAAACAGUGGCCAUUUCUUGAGAAUACUGGAAUGUUUGAAUCUUAGUUUCAAGCAUUAUUUUUUUUACUUAAUUUUUAUUUUCUCCUUUUAGGGUUAAAAAAACAGUAUUAUAACCACCAGAUGAGAAUACUAUCAACUGAAAUAUUUCAGCCCAGCUUGUGUAAGCUGAAGCAGCUGGGCCAUUUUUUAAAAAAUUAUAAUAAAUAAGUGAAUACAUAAUCAAUCCCUCGAGUGCCAGCUCUCUAUUCUGUUCGCUCCCAGAGCUGUGAUUUUUCAUCUUUAUUCUGUGCCCCCAGAAAGAAAAGCAACAUAGGGAAAAAUGUUGACAGACUGUUCUCUGUGACAUCAACCAACAGAAAAAGCUAAAUUGUUGAUGCUCAUUCCAGAAGGCAUUUCUACUGUGGCUUUUGGUGGGUGCAGAUUUAGAAUAACCCUUCCUUUUCUGGAUUAAAUAUUAACUAUUUAAUACAAAAAGCCACCUGAGAAGAAAACCCAAAUGUUUCGAUGUCUGCAAUGUGUGUCUGCAAUGUGUGCAAAACACAACAGCGGCAGAAAUAGGCCUAUGGAGUGUAGUUAACAAGCACAGAACUAAAUAUUGAUCAAGCAUUUCUCAAGUGCCCGGCCAGGUCUCCUGCAGCCAAAGAUGAGCCCAACAUGCUCCAUUGGUUCAAGAAAUUUACUGUCUACAGAGGAACAGACUUGGUGAAAAAACAUAAUCACUUGAUGGAGGAUUUCAUCUUUGGAAUCAAACAAAACUUAUUCAAAGACACAUCUGAAGCAUAAGCUGAGUGAUCAAACCAGCUGACUCUGAGGUCUGACUCUUAGGAUGGCUCUGAAGUCAGUUCCCAAAGAUGAUUACUGCAAAUAUCACGAGCAUCCUAGAAUGUGUGCAUUAACUCCAAAAGUACCACUUUGAAGGGGCAAAUUCAUUUCACAUAUAAGUUCCACUUUGUGGGGGUUUUUUUGUGGGUUUUUUUUUUUUUUUUGGUUUUUGUUUUUAGGAACAUAUACAGGCAAAAGAAAUCCCAUGAUUAAAUGCUUGACAGAAUUCUUCCCUAAACAGAAUUUCUUCAAGAUGUCCCUGGAUUCGAAUACUUAUUAGGCCACAUAAGCAUUAACAUUCAGUUAUACUGGCCCAUUGCCUGUGCCUUGGCAUCCCCUGUAAGGCUCCCGCUGGGUAUUGCUGGAGACUUGUCUAUGUGAAAGAACAAUCUCUGCUCUCAGGCCCUUCUGCCUGGCCCCUCACUGCUGACCGCUGCCCCCAAAGCCACUCAUGGCCAUUUUGGCCAGGAUAUCUGGAAGCAGUGCCUUCCUCCUUGAGCUCCUGGACACCCUGCAGACAUAGGGAGAUAGACCUUUAUCCCAAUCCUGCCUUGUAUUUUGUCCUCAGGACCCGAGUCUUGGAAGCUCCCACUGCAAGCAGGUCACUGACCUGCCUGUAGCUUCUUUCCAAUCCCAGCCCCUCUACUACAAAGCAGGAGUCCUAGACAGCACACCAUCCAGCUCCACUCCCUCCCCACCAGGGUCUGAACUGAAGUCCACAUCACCUCCUCUCUUUCUGCACACUGACCCCUGAGGAGCUGGCUACCAGCCUGUGGCUCUGCCAGACAACACAUUCCCAUUAGGUUCAGCUACUUCUAAAAUAAAGAUCAGGCAAAAGUCUGAAGAAGUGAGAUUUCCUCCUAACACUUCUCUUGAUUUCUGACAGAGCUGACUUGAGGUCAAAGCUUACAGUGAGUUAACAGAAUGGGUUCUGGGCAGGAGGCUGCCACUCUCCAUUGAAAGGGUGGGGACGGUGUCUGCAAUUGACUGUACAAUUGAGACACCUCACAGACUCCAGGGGGCAGGGACGUCCAACAACUCACAAGGCCAAGGAAAAGAAAGGUGUCACAGAUACUGUUCACAGGGGUUUCUUUUAGGGAGUUACAGUGUGGGGAAUGCUCACAUUCUGCUUUGUAAUGGCUGUAAUGUUUUCAUGCUUUUUAAAAAGUCUCUAUUUUAAACGGUUAUGGGGAGAAUGAAACAAGUUUCAGAUGUGCGUGGUCAGUGCAUUCUCCUUCUCCCAGUGACCUCCCAGAACUGUACAUUUUAUUUGCAUAGCUGAAGAAUACAUUAUUUUUAUAUUAAACAAGCAGGACUAUAUUACAGAUUAAGAUACAUAAAUUCACAUGACCUUUUUUUAAAAAGAUUUUAUUUUUAAGUGAUCUCUACACCCAAUGUGGGGCUUGAACUCACAACCCCGAGAUCAAGAGUCUCAUCCUCUACCAGCUGAGCCAGCCAGGUACCCCUAAUUCACAUGAAUUUUUAAAAUAGAACAAGGGACUUAAAGGAAUUUUCAUCUCUGGUGCUCCGAGGCACACAUUCACUCUUGUUAGGGACACUAGAGCAGAAAAGUUUGAGAAGUGGACCCUGGGGAGGCCCCAAAUCUCCCUCACUGAGGACUGAUGGAGUCAGCUCAUGUGUUGGAAAAAACACUCUGAAGGAAGCAUGGUGAGUCAGAAGGGAAUGGAAGUUAGGUUCUUGAGCUCAACCCCUGGGUAAUAAUUAUACAAGUUGCCUCUUGAAUCUAGAGCGUACUGUGUAUUAGGGCAUCCACAUACAUUUCAAGACCCAUGUUUUCAUAGGACACUGAGCCUCAAGAAGUGAAGAGCUAGCUCUCAGUUGCAUGGCCUGAAUUCAAGCCUAGGCCUACUGAAUAUCAUCACCCCUGCACCUUUUGAAAAUUGUCCCCAUGCUUCCCAUCUUCUGGCCUUCUCCAUCUCCAUCCAAUAUGGCAGGCUUUCAGAGUCCCUGAGGCCAGGCCCACUUAUAGGAAGCCAUGAUGCCUUAGCCAGCUGACUGGGUCUGGGAACCUGCCACUGGGCUCCCUUGACUUUCAACUAAACCCAUUCCCUGAACAGAAUGGUCUCAGCCAUUCCACAUCUAACUCCAGGAUAAAGUGACUCCAUGAUUUUCCCAGAGGAAUUCUUGGCGAUGAAUUUCUAGUGGUUGUGGCUGGCUGUGAAGAAAAGAGGGUGUCUACCGGCACAGAGUGAAGAUGAGGCUUACGUAAUCCUGAAAAGGGAAGCCCAACAGCCUAGUGUGGAGGAAGAAGAGUGCACUCUCCCCACCCCAUCACAUCUCCUUUCAGGAAGUUGAACUACUUGAGUGUCCAAGGGAAAGGAACCAGCAGUUCCCACCCAUGGCACCUCCCGACAUCCCCACCCCCUGGACACCAUACCUGUGGCUUCUCUUGCUAGACCUCUGCCUGUAGUCCAGGAGAGAGCAUUGACCUGGGGACUUGAAAGCCUUCUGCUUAUUGCCGAAGCAGCAGGGGAGGACAAGGACACUCUCCUCCCUGGUGUGUGCUGUCACUGAACAGGAAAUGGCUCCGGCUUUUCUUCCUCUCAGCCUUUGCUUUCUGUUUCAAGUCUGUAGUCUGUAUCUCUGAGUCACACAAAACACUUUAGAGCAAACAAUAAGAAACAAGUGUGCUUGGAAGGGGAAUGUCUUGAAUUCUAAUGAGCCAUUUGCUCUGUAAGGCAACAACAUUGUUUUUCGGUUCCAAAUUGGACUCUGAUCUGUCUACAUCUGUUUCUUUCCAUACUCUGUCCUCUAGAGCAGGAACUUGGUAGGUGUGAAGCUCCAUGAAUGCAAGAGGCUGAACAGGGUUUGGAGGAAUCAUUGGGGCCACACUUUUGGGAGGCUUCAACUGUGAUUGCACCUGCUAGGUAACCAACCAAUAUUUACUUACACUGUGUCCACAGUGUCGGUUAUGUGCCAGAUGAU